CCGGCUUCCGUAGUUUUAAACUGUUCUGUGCUAAAUCUGGUUCGAAAUGACGGCGUGGGAAACGGGCAGAACAGCAGAUGUGUCGCUAUGCCCUCACUCAAACCGCUGAAGCCGAUGGGAAAGGACCGCAUCUCAUUGAACGAAAACAGGAGUUGGUCGCACCUUCGGUACGGUCCACCUCGGCCGGCACAGGUGCUCUUCCAAAUGGAUCCCAGUUCUGACGAUAGUCAUUUGAAGACAGCAGCAAAGCGGUAUUAGUGGAAAAUUCACGGAGAUAAGGAAAACGGUAGAUAUUAAAUGAGAAAACAUCUCCUGAUGCUGUGCUGAG